rnacentral:rRNA from 1 species
AGCGAACGCUGGCGGCAGGCCUAACACAUGCAAGUCGAACGAACCUUUCGGGGUUAGUGGCGGACGGGUGAGUAACACGUGGGAACGUGCCUUUAGGUUCGGAAUAACUCAGGGAAACUUGUGCUAAUACCGAAUGUGCCCUUCGGGGGAAAGAUUUAUCGCCGUUAGAGCGGCCCGCGUCUGAUUAGCUAGUUGGUUGAGGUAAUGGCUCACCAAGGCGACGAUCAGUAGCUGGUCUGAGAGGAUGAUCAGCCACAUUGGGACUGAGACACGGCCCAAACUCCUACGGGAGGCAGCAGUGGGGAAUCUUGCGCAAUGGGCGAAAGGCUGACGCAGCCAUGCCGCGUGAAUGAUGAAGGUCUUAGGAUUGUAAAAUUCUUUCACCGGGGACGAUAAUGACGGUACCCGGAGAAGAAGCCCCGGCUAACUUCGUG